ACGAGUUAGGGUCUCUCUGGCCCGACCUCCCAACCCUUUGUCUACUUGACCAUCGUUGCUUCGGCGAGCCCGUCCUCACGGACCGCCGGAGGGAUCUUUACUGGCCCUCUGGUCCGCGCUCGUCGGUAGCCCAACCUUUAAAAUCUUAACCAAACGUGUCUUGAUCUGAGUACUAUAUUUUAAUAAAAAUA
rnacentral:misc_RNA from 1 species